rnacentral:rRNA from 1 species
AUGGUCGUCUGCCAGGCGCUGGGCAGGCCCGAGUGGACCCCGACUGGUAACCUUGCACUAACGGAAUGGUGCCAGGACAAGAUCGGCACCGGGCGGCAUAGGAAGGGAGUGCGUGCAAUUAUCACUCUGGUGCUAUGGGAGCUAUGGAAGCACCGUAACUCGAUCGUGUUCGACGGAGCGGCGCCCUCAACGGACCGCAUCCUAGCUCGAGUCCAGCAGGAGGGCACAAUGUGGCGUAUGGCAGGGUUACUCCGAGGAGAGGUGGGCGUCUUCCUGGGCGCGUUGACAAGUGGGCCUUCCCGGAUAAAUACGGCGUGA